rfam:Beggiatoa sp. PS contig13884_1471, whole genome shotgun sequence.
UAAGUCCCUAUCGGGUAAGGACUAACCAUCCACCCGUAUCGAGUGUUGCGUAUCGGUAGGACGUAAUUUUUUUAACGGAACGAAUGAUACGAAGCGUACACAGAGAAACUAAUAGACCACAGGGGAUAAUCGCACAUCCCUGAAGUUUGAUACAGCACCGUAAAACGCUUAAUGCAGAUGGCGACACUUUCCAUCCCGUGGAAGCCAAUACAAGCCAAUCGUUAUGGUUAGAUUGGUAAGGGUCUGUCGGUGUCCACCU